rnacentral:rRNA from 1 species
GGGGAAGACCCCAAACCGCUGCCGUUUCGGCGACGGCGGGGUCAUGGGACCGCGACAUUCGACGGAAGACGAAGUGCAAUUACCUGGAAAGGUAAGCCGUGGAGGGUGACAGCCCCGUGCACGACACCUCUUUCUUAGAUAGCGGAAUCCCGAGUAGGGCGGGACACGAGAAAUCCUGCCUGAAUUCGCCAGGACCUCCUGGCAAGGCUAAAUACUCCCGAGAGACCGAUAGUGAACCAGUACCGCGAGGGAAAGGUGAAAAGUACCCCGAGCAGGGGGGUGAAAUAGACCCUGAACCCGCGCGCCUACAAGCGGUCGGAGCCACGCGAUGUGGUGACGGCGUGCCUUUUGCAUAAUGAGCCUACGAGUUAGUCGUCACCAGCGAGGUUAAGGGCUUCAGGCCCGUCAGCCGAAGUGAAAGCGAGCCUUAACAGGGCGUGAAGUUGGUGGCGCUAGACGCGAAACCUUGUGAUCUACCCACGAGCAGGUUGAAGUCGCGGUAACACGUGAUGGAGGACCGAACCGGUAAACGUUGAAAAGUUUUCGGAUGACUCGCGGGUAGGGGUGAAAGGCCAAUCAAACUGGGAAAUAGCUCGUACUCUCCGAAAUGCAUUUCGGUGCAGCCUGUGAUGUUCUGUUCCAGAGGUAGAGCUACUGGUUGGACGCGAGGGCUUCACCGCCUAUCAAAUCCGGAUAAACUCCGAAUGCUGGAACACGAAAUCAUGGAGUGAGCCCGCGGGUGCUAAGGUCCGCGGACGAGAGGGAAAGAACCCGGACCACCGGCUAAGGUCCCGGAUGGACAGUUAAGUUGAUCAAACGAGGUGGGAUCGCGGAGACAGCUAGGAUGUUGGCUUGGAAGCAGCCAUUCAUUUAAAGAGUGCGUAACAGCUCACUAGUCGAGCGAUCUGGCGUGGAUAAUAAUCGGGCAUAAACGAUCUGCCGAAGCCGUGGAUGUCGCAAGACAUGGUAGGGGAGCAUUCCAUGCGGCGUCGAAGAUGAGGGAUGACCCUUGUUGGAGCGCAUGGAAAAGCAAAUGUAGGUAUGAGUAACGAUAAGGGGGGCGAGAAACCCCCCCGCCGAAAGACCAAGGUUUCCUGAUCAACGCUAAUCGGAUCAGGGUGAGUCGGGACCUAAGGCAAAGCCGAACGGCGCCGCCGAUGGAAGAAUGGGUUAAUAUUCCCAUACUGCCUCAUGGAGUGACGUGGAGACGGAGAAGUGACAGUCCUGCCGGCUGACGGAAUAGCCGGUUGAAGGGUGUAGAUAUUGAUUCCCGUAGGCAAAUCCGCGGGGAGAGUCGAACCUGAGAGUAUACGGAGCGCUUGCGCAACGUAAUAUGGACGUAACCAUGCUCCCGAGAAAAUCCGCUAAACUUAUCCAUGCGGCACCCGUACCGUAAACGGACACACGUGGUCGGGUUGAGAAUACUGAGGCGCUCGAGUGAUUCACGGUUAAGGAACUAGGCAAAUUGACCCUGUAACUUCGGGAUAAAGGGUCCCAACGAGAGUUGGGCGCAGAGAAUAGGUCCAGGCAACUGUUUAACAAAAACACAGGGCUGUGCCAAAUUGAAAGAUUACGUAUACAGCCUGACACCUGCCCGGUGCUGGAAGGUUAAGAGGAGAUGUCAUCGCAAGAGAAGCAUUGAAUUGAAGCCCCAGUAAACGGCGGCCGUAACUAUAACGGUCCUAAGGUAGCGAAAUUCCUUGUCGGGUAAGUUCCGACCUGCACGAAUGGUGUAAUGAUCUGGACGCUGUCUCAACCGUGAGCUCAGUGAAAUUGUAGUAUCGGUGAAGAUGCCGAUUACCCGCGAUGGGACGAAAAGACCCCGUGAACCUUUACUAUAGCUUAUCAUUGAAUCUGGGCACGUGAUGUGUAGGAUAGGUCGGAGGCUUUGAAGCAGGUACGCCAGUAUUUGUGGAGCCGCUGUUGAAAUACGACCCUUUAUUUGUUUGGAUUCUAACCCGUGGAACGGGGACAUUGAUUGGUGGGUAGUUUGACUGGGGUGGUCGCCUCCAAAAGCGUAACGGAGGCUUCUA